GGCUCCUAGAGUAAAACCCUGGCCAAUCACGAUAAAGGACGCGCGAGUUGAUUAGCAUAAAAUGAUUCGGGCUUUUUUUCUCUUUUUUGUCCCCCUCCCCCACCCCAAACAUUUCUCCUCCGCACCGCGGAGGCGCUCGGGGCCGUCAGCAGUCGCUGCUCAGUUCGAAGAGCCCCUCAACGGCGGCGCACUGGGGCCUGCGCGCGGCGGGCGGGCGCCUGGACAGGCCCGUGCCGGGCCAUGCCGGCUGGGAGCGCCACGUGCCCCCUCGCCUUCCGCCGCCGGAAGCUGCAGGCCUCGGCCCCGCCCACUGCGAGGUGAAGCGUUAACGUCUAACGGCUUCGCGCGAGGCCGGAGGCUUGAGUUGUGGGAAGGGGGUUCGUGGGGUCUGGAGUGGGCCAGGUGGGCUUGAGGUAAAGGCCGGGAGUGGACAAACCCUCAAGUCUUACGUUUUAAUCAUGAAUUUGGUCCUUGGUUCAUUUUGGGUCCUUCCCACACUCCCCAUUGGACAUUAGAGGAAACUAAACCCCUAGAAAAGGAUUUUACUUUACUGAUGGUGAUUAACUGCCCCUAAAUUACCACCUUAUACAAAAGUGGAAAGCUUUUGAUAAUACAAAGGGUUAAUUUCUUAGCAUAUACUCUCUUACAUGACUGCUGCCAGCUGGUUGGCUUUCUUUUCAGAAGCCGUUCUUUAUCUCGUCAAGAUCUCUUCAACCCAGCUAUUCUUGAGUGGACAGCAAGAAACCAAACUGAGAUGUAGGUGCAGGGGCACUUCACCACCACUUGACAAUGUCUAGCACACCAGCCUUGUAACCAGAGCAUCAAACUUGUGUCUUGGCAAAAUUACUACUUGCUACAUGGGGUUGAGUUUGAGGAUUGGUCCUGAAUAGCUGAAACCACAAAUGUCCAAUAUGUGAUUGCAGCAGGCCUUCUGCAUAAGGAUGGCUUGGCCUGAAGUCAAGGGCUAUAUGUUUAUCUAAACGCUACCAUAUGGAUCCAAUACUGUGAACAAAAGGAGUGUUCAGCUAGCGAAGGGAGAUUCAUGGAAAGGACUGUGACACUUACUCCAGAACACAGGUUUCUGAUAAACUUUCAGAUCAUAAAACUGAACUGGCCUAUCAUCAACAGGUUAAAGAAGCUUUCCUGGAUCCCAAUUUGAAGGAUCCUGUUGGGCACAGUCUAGAGCCUAGUGACUGGGUAUUCUGGAAGCAUCAUCAGAGGAAGACAGCCCUAGAGCCCCAUAGGAAAGGACUUUACCAAGUGCUCCUGACCACUGGCACUCCUGCAGAACUAGAAGGCAUUGAACCUUGGAGACACAUCUCACAGCUAAUGAAGGCUCCACCUGAGAUCUGCUCCUGUAUAAAUGCUGGAGACCUCCAAAUCUAAUUGAUGAGGAAGAAAAGCAGCCGACAUUAGAGGCAGACAGCUUUCCCAAGAUGGCUGGACCAGCUCGAUGUUAUAAAAACACCACUCGAAUAAUGGACACUCAGGACUUUGAAAUGAUUACUAAGGCUUAUGAAACUUCACAGAACGACAGAAGAUGUUUAUCCUUAAAAAGACUUGAAAGGAGAGCUUUAUUCCGCUCUGCGCUCUUGUUGCUCAACCAUGUUCUAAAAGCUCCUAAGGAAACCACGUUCCCUCCUGGGUGGGACAUGACUACCAGGAAUGAACCUUCCUGGAGAUGAGGGACCAGUGAUGCUUUGAUGGCUGACGAGCAAUGUUUUCCAACAGUUGAUCAGCAAUGCUUCCCAGUAUUUGAUCAGCAAUGCUUUUGGAAAGAUAUUGAUCAAAAGGGAAAAAUGUGAAAGAUGACAUGAGUGGAGCCAUAUUAAAACAGAGCUGGAGCAGCCAUUUCAGAGGAAUUGUCUUGCACAUCUUGUUUUCUUCCAAACUGGACCAAACCACCAACAUUCCAAGAAGUCAAUAAGGACAAGAAUAUCUUGUUUGUGAGGACUGAUGAAAUUGGACUUUAGCUGAUGACUGAAUCACUGGCCAAUCAACAAAGUACAAAUCUAGCCUUAACUCAUCUAGCACCAGUGGACUUUUCUUUAAUACAACUUCAUCUUCCUCCCUUUUCCCCAUAAAAACCCUGAGCCCCUCUCCUGUAAUCAGGACACUAUUUGGGUUUCUACCUGAAUCUGUGCUCCCUAAACUGCAAUUCUUUCAUCCCAAAAUAAAUGCUUCUCUGCCUCU